CCUACGGGGGGCAGCAGUGGGGAAUAUUGGACAAUGGGCGAAAGCCUGAUCCAGCCAUGCCGCGUGUGUGAAGAAGGCCUUCGGGUUGUAAAGCACUUUCAGUGGGGAAGAAAGCCUUGGGGCUAAUACCCUCGAGGAAGGACAUCACCCACAGAAGAAGCACCGGCUAACUCCGUGCCAGCAGCCGCGGUAAUACGGAGGGUGCGAGCGUUAAUCGGAAUUACUGGGCGUAAAGCGCGCGUAGGCGGUCUGAUAAGCCGGUUGUGAAAGCCCCGGGCUCAACCUGGGAACGGCAUCCGGAACUGUCAGGCUAGAGUGCAGGAGAGGAAGGUAGAAUUCCCGGUGUAGCGGUGAAAUGCGUAGAGAUCGGGAGGAAUACCAGUGGCGAAGGCGGCCUUCUGGACUGACACUGACGCUGAGGUGCGAAAGCGUGGGUAGCAAACAGGAUUAGAUACCCUAGAGUC
rnacentral:rRNA from 1 species